AUACCUUUCUCGGCCUUUUGGCUAAGAUCAAGUGUAGUAUCUGUUCUUAUCAGUUUAAUAUCUAAUAUGUGGGUCAUUGAUUCACACGAUAUUAACUUAAUUUUUUAAGCGGGGAGCCCGUUAAGGUAGCUUGCUACCUGGGCUCUCGAGUGUCGCUCAUGCGUUGCACUACCGCAUGGGCCUGGCGCACCCUAC